AUGAGGCCGAUUUGUUCACUAGUACCUCAACCACCUCUACUAGUCUCUGAGCUUAUUGAUGCUUCAUCUGCGUCAUGGCGAGAGGAAGAGCUAAGGAGGAUUUUUGUACCGCUUGAUGUUGAGGAAAUACUACAAAUUCCGUUGUGCAAAAAAAGGAUUAGAGAUUUUUGGGCAUGGGGGGAAGAUUGUCGAGGCGAGUUUUCAGUGAGUUCAGCGUAUAAGAUGCUUUCGAAUGUGAAGAGACAGCGAGAAAAUCUUCUUGAGGGAGCUGCAGGUUCGUCGGCUUCAGAGAAGGAGCAGAAAGCCUGGACGUCCCUAUGGAACAUCAAGGUUCCGUCGAAACUGAAGAACUUCAUAUGGAGAUUGUGCGAUGACUCGAUACCGACGGCGGAUGUCUUACACCAUAGACAUAUGGCCCCAAGUUUUGUUUGUUCCUUCUGUUCGGCGGAGGACAACUGGAAGCAUGCCCUGAUUGAAUGUGUCGUGGCUAGGUGCGUUUGGUCCUUAUCAUCUAAUGAGCUGACUGAAUCAAUGCGGGGCAACUUAAAUCUGAGUGCAAAAAACUGGAUGUUCAUGAUGCAUGAAACGUUGCCUCAUGAUGAAUUCACACGCAUGGUAGUGACACUUUGGGCGCUUUGGAGGGCACGCAGGAGAGCUAUGCAUGAGGAUAUAUAUGACAGUCUGUUGCAAAUCCAUCACUUCGUCAGUGCUUUUAUGAGGGACAUCCAGAUUAUAUCGACUCCAAAGCAAUCGUCAGUUAGCAGUUUGGUGAGCAGGCCAUCACAGUGGCUACCACCGCCACUUGAACAUGCGAAGCUGAAUGUGGACGCGACGGUUUUGAAUGAGAAUAUUGGUGCAGCAGCGGUGGUGUGCAAGGACAGUAACGGAGCUUUUUUGGGUGCGUCGGCAAUCACUUUUAAAUAUAUUCAUAACCCCGUUACACUUGAAGCUUUGGCGGUACGUGAGGCGCUAGCAAUUGCGGAGGAUUUAUAUUUACAAAAAUUCAAAUGGUGUCUGACUGCAAGACGGUUGUGGAUGACAUCAAGCUGGGAUCAUCGGCGAAACAUGCAGCUAUUAUACAUGAAAUCACAGAUCGUUGGCGUCUUUUUAUCGCUUGUAACAUUAUCCACGAGUUUAGGAGCUCGUAUUUUGAGGCUUACAAUCUUGCUGGGCAUGCUCUUUCACUUGGGUUCGAUCGCUAUGUUUGGUUAG
rnacentral:rRNA from 1 species